CAGCCAUACAGUACUGGUCCGGGCUCAGUCCAUACUGGUCUGGGCUCAGUCCAUACUCUACUGUUCUGGGCUCUGUGGAGACUCCCAGCCAUACAGUACUGGUCUGGGCUCAGUCCAUACUCUACUGUUCUGGGCUCAGUCCAUAGUGUACUGUUCUGGGCUCAGUCCAUACUGUACUGUUCUGGGCUUUGUGGAGACUGCCAGUCAGAAACCGCUUUGAGUUUUGCUCUUGUUUUCUUCUUCUGAUUGCACGGAGUGAGUUGUGCCUGUCCUUGUGUCCCUGCGCACCGAGCGCGAGUCAGUCCCUUGUUUCCUGGUUUCUGACACAUCCUUGUGAGGUUCCUGUGGGUGCAACAUAGCUGAAACACGUCUGAAGACUUGGGUCUUUGCUUUAAAGAGCACACUAAUCAUUAAGACAAUGGAGGAGAGGGAAAGAGAAAGGCAGAGAGAAAGAGAGAGAGUUAAAGAGAGAGGGAAAGAGAAAGAAAUACGUUUGACUAGAAAAGCAGGCAUGUAACAUGUCAUCAAGGGCUUGUGUAAUGCAGACAGAAUUUAGACAUUGAACUAACAGAUGUAUAAAUAUAUUUACAAAUAUAUAAAUAUAAAUAUAUCUACAUACAUCAGAUAUUUAUUAACAUUCUAUGAAAUGAUAACAAUCUAAAUUACAUUAUAACUAUAUAUGAUAGGAAAUGAUAUAUUGUAUCAAGCACUGUAUGCGAUUUCAAGGACAUUUCCUGAUCAGGAAGGCUGCAGAUUCUAAAGAUGAGGAGCGCUGUAGUGGGGAACGUCAGGGGUUAGCUGCUGUAGCUCAGUGUGAGGUUCUAAAGAUCAGGAACGCUGCAGUGGGGAACGUCAGGGGUUAGCUGCUGUAGCUCAGUGUGAGGUUCUAAAGAUCAGGAACGCUGCAGUGGGGAACGUCAGGGGUUAGCUGCUGUAGCUCAGUGUGUUGGACAGACACCCUGCAGGUAAGACAACCACUGAGACUCUCCUGAACAUGGCUGGAGAGACAGAGAGACAGACAGACAGACAGACAGAGAGAAAGAGAGACAGACAGACAGACAGAGAGACAGACAGACAGACAGAGAGACAGACAGACAGACAGACAGACAGAGAGAAUGAAAGACACUGAGAGAGAGAGAGACAGAGAGAGAGGCAGAGAGAGUCUGUUGCUAUGGGGAUGACACUUGCAGCUUUCCCAGACGCACAAAGAGAGAGAAGCCUCUGCGCCUCAGCAGUAACCCCAGGUUUUGAGCACAUGAGUUGACAGGAAGUGACUCGUCCCCGUAUCAACAUGUGGACAUAAAAGCACAAAACCAGCCUCUCUAGAGAGGUCACUGUUGGGGGAGGAGACAGGGGAGCCAGAGUGACUGACAGCAGAACCAUCCAAUAGUUAGAAAGAGAGAGACAAGCACUGAGAGACCAGCUUACAGCCGUCUAGUUAGUCUGUCCAUAACGUUCUGUAAAACCAGAAGGAGAGAGUUAGGAGAGAGUUUCGAGAGAGAGUUAGUUUAUCCUAAGUGAGAGAGUUUAAGAUACAUUAUCCUAAGCAAGAGAGAUAGUUUAUCCCAAUAGUUAAUCUGCCCUAUGCACAGUAUGUCCAGCCAGAGAGAUAGAGAGUUAAGAAGAUGAUAGCUUGUCUGUAUUAAGCACAGUCUGUCUCAAGGACCCAAACCUUCACAUACGUCUGCUAUGAGACGCAUAAAGCUACCACCAUGUCAUGUUAAAGUCUGUGAAUGUGUGUUAUGCAUGGAUUAAUGUUACAUUUACUUGAAGUGAUCAAAUUAUACAAUGUGGUUUUUUUUCUGAAUGUCAUAAAGUCUGUUUGUUGUUUUUGUUUGGGUUUUCUUUACACGACUAACCAAAGGUGAUGUGUAGAGGCAAGGUCACAGCUGGAGAGCUUCCAUUGGAGGACAGCUGACCAAUGAGCUGCUGAGGGUGGGGCUACUGUCUGACCACGCCCCCAUUCUCAGUGUACAAAGCAAUAAAGCCAUGGCAACAGUCUGUGGGUUUAUCAACGUAAAAAAAAAGAGAAACACACAUUAGCACAUUAGCAUUUAGCCAUAGUGAGUUUGGUUUUAUGAGUAGUGUUUUUGUGGAUGCAAAUUUAAAACAAGAAAAAAUGAUUUAAAAAAUAAAACAUGAAAGUAAGUGUAAUUAAAAAGCUCUUUGAAGCGUAUAUAUAUAUAUAGAUAUAUAGAUAUAUAGAUCUAGCCUGAGCCCAGCCACUCUCUCAGUAGACAGAGAGCAAGCGCUGGGCCCACUCACCAGAAGAGAAUGAUAUCCCCAGCGUCGCCACGGGGACGUUUCCUAGGCGACGGCUCCAACUCCCCUGGAUGUGUGCACCUCUGUAGUGAUCCUGUGUUCUCCCCGUGGUUGCUCCCCCCCCCCGGGUUGACUGGGUUUGUCAGUGUGUAUCUCUCUGCCCACCCCCACCCCACCCACCACCCCCAACCCCCCCCCCUCACUGUCCACUGCUGUAACGAGCAAUGGCUCAAGGACUGUGUGUGUAAAGGUGUUUCAUAUAUUGUACAAAAGCGGCCGUGGUUGCCAGGCGACCUUGCGCGGUCCCGUAGUCCUGUUCUGUGCCUCUGUGUGAGUUCUACCUGUGGUUCAAUGGCUUUUUAUUUGCUGUGUUCUAUGGAGAGGGUUCUAUGGCGUUUUAUUUGCUGUGUUCUAUGGAGAGAGUUGUUGAUGUCAAAACUGAACUGCUAUAUAUAUUCUCUUUUUAUAAAAAAAGAUCAAAUUUGAUACAUGCCUGUGCCUGUUUCUUGUGUGUGUUUUAGAUCUGGUAGUCUGUCAGUAGCACGU
ensembl:lncRNA